UACGUAGGGUGCGAGCGUUAAUCGGAAUUACUGGGCGUAAAGCGUGCGCAGGCGGUUCGUUGUGUCUGUGGUGAAAGCCCCGGGCUUAACCUGGGAAUGGCCAUGGAAACUGGCGAGCUGGAGUGUGGCAGAGGGGGGUGGAAUUCCCGGUGUAGAGGUGAAAUUCGUAGAUAUCGGGAGGAACACCAGUGGCGAAGGCGGCGACCUGGACGGACACUGACGCUGAGACGCGAAAGCGUGGGGAGCAAACAGG
rnacentral:rRNA from 1 species